CAGGCUUAACACAUGCAAGUCGAGGGGCAGCAUGGUCUUAGCUUGCUAAGGCCGAUGGCGACCGGCGCACGGGUGAGUAACACGUAUCCAACCUGCCGUCUACUCUUGGACAGCCUUCUGAAAGGAAGAUUAAUACAAGAUGGCAUCAUGAGUCCGCAUGUUCACAUGAUUAAAGGUAUUCCGGUAGACGAUGGGGAUGCGUUCCAUUAGAUAGUAGGCGGGGUAACGGCCCACCUAGUCUUCGAUGGAUAGGGGUUCUGAGAGGAAGGUCCCCCACAUUGGAACUGAGACACGGUCCAAACUCCUACGGGAGGCAGCAGUGAGGAAUAUUGGUCAAUGGGCGAGAGCCUGAACCAGCCAAGUAGCGUGAAGGAUGACUGCCCUAUGGGUUGUAAACUUCUUUUAUAAAGGAAUAAAGUCGGGUAUGGAUACCCGUUUGCAUGUACUUUAUGAAUAAGGAUCGGCUAACUCCGUGCCAGCAGCCGCGGUAAUACGGAGGAUCCGAGCGUUAUCCGGAUUUAUUGGGUUUAAAGGGAGCGUAGAUGGAUGUUUAAGUCAGUUGUGAAAGUUUGCGGCUCAACCGUAAAAUUGCAGUUGAUACUGGAUAUCUUGAGUGCAGUUGAGGCAGGCGGAAUUCGUGGUGUAGCGGUGAAAUGCUUAGAUAUCACGAAGAACUCCGAUUGCGAAGGCAGCCUGCUAAGCUGCAACUGACAUUGAGGCUCGAAAGUGUGGGUAUCAAACAGGAUUAGAUACCCUGGUAGUCCACACGGUAAACGAUGAAUACUCGCUGUUUGCGAUAUACGGCAAGCGGCCAAGCGAAAGCGUUAAGUAUUCCACCUGGGGAGUACGCCGGCAACGGUGAAACUCAAAGGAAUUGACGGGGGCCCGCACAAGCGGAGGAACAUGUGGUUUAAUUCGAUGAUACGCGAGGAACCUUACCCGGGCUUAAAUUGCAGAUGAAUUACGGUGAAAGCCGUAAGCCGCAAGGCAUCUGUGAAGGUGCUGCAUGGUUGUCGUCAGCUCGUGCCGUGAGGUGUCGGCUUAAGUGCCAUAACGAGCGCAACCCUUGUUGUCAGUUACUAACAGGUUCUGCUGAGGACUCUGACAAGACUGCCAUCGUAAGAUGUGAGGAAGGUGGGGAUGACGUCAAAUCAGCACGGCCCUUACGUCCGGGGCUACACACGUGUUACAAUGGGGGGUACAGAGGGCCGCUACCACGCGAGUGGAUGCCAAUCCCAAAAACCUCUCUCAGUUCGGACUGGAGUCUGCAACCCGACUCCACGAAGCUGGAUUCGCUAGUAAUCGCGCAUCAGCCACGGCGCGGUGAAUACGUUCCCGGGCCUUGUACACACCGCCCGUCAAGCCAUGGGAGCCGGGGGUACCUGAAGUGCGUAACCGCGAGGAGCGCCCUAGGGUAAAACUGGUGACUGGGGC
rnacentral:rRNA from 1 species